rnacentral:rRNA from 1 species
GACGAACCGUGCGAACGUUGUUCGGAAUCACUGGGCUUAAAGGGCGCGUAGGCGGGCUGCCGCGUCCGGGGUGAAAUCCCACGGCUCAACCGUGGAACUGCCUCGGAUACGGGCGGUCUUGAGGGGGGUAGGGGCACGCGGAACUGUGGGUGGAGCGGUGAAAUGCGUUGAUAUCAGGAAGAACACCCGUGGCGAAGGCGGUUCUCUGGGACGGUACUGACGCUGAGACGCGAAAGCGUGGGGAGCGAACAGG